rnacentral:rRNA from 1 species
UGCAGUCGAACGGUAGCACAGAGAGCUUGCUCUCGGGUGACGAGUGGCGGACGGGUGAGUAAUGUCUGGGAAACUGCCUGAUGGAGGGGGAUAACUACUGGAAACGGUAGCUAAUACCGCAUAACGUCGCAAGACCAAAGAGGGGGACCUUCGGGCCUCUUGCCAUCAGAUGUGCCCAGAUGGGAUUAGCUAGUAGGUGGGGUAACGGCUCACCUAGGCGACGAUCCCUAGCUGGUCUGAGAGGAUGACCAGCCACACUGGAACUGAGACACGGUCCAGACUCCUACGGGAGGCAGCAGUGGGGAAUAUUGCACAAUGGGCGCAAGCCUGAUGCAGCCAUGCCGCGUGUAUGAAGAAGGCCUUCGGGUUGUAAAGUACUUUCAGCGGGGAGGAAGGUGUUGUGGUUAAUAACCGCAGCAAUUGACGUUACCCGCAGAAGAAGCACCGGCUAACUCCGUGCCAGCAGCCGCGGUAAUACGGAGGGUGCAAGCGUUAAUCGGAAUUACUGGGCGUAAAGCGCACGCAGGCGGUCUGUCAAGUCGGAUGUGAAAUCCCCGGGCUCAACCUGGGAACUGCAUUCGAAACUGGCAGGCUAGAGUCUUGUAGAGGGGGGUAGAAUUCCAGGUGUAGCGGUGAAAUGCGUAGAGAUCUGGAGGAAUACCGGUGGCGAAGGCGGCCCCCUGGACAAAGACUGACGCUCA